CAAGGAACUACAGGUCAUUUCCCAGCCGUUGAUCUUGUUGUAAGAAGCAGCAGCCACAAAGUUGUCUAUCUUCUCAACGAUAAUAUGCCCAGGCCUCAAUCUGCAAGUUAUGUUUUACAUUAGGUGUGUCAUCUCUGGGCUAGCAAGUUUAAAGUUCAAUCAUCAGAUGAAUUUUGUAUUUCAGGGAGCAGCAAGGGGAUCCCACAGUCUCAUGUUCUUUCUGAUGUUAUAAAGCACACUUUGGCAAUCUAGGAGCUGGCAGAGUCACCCACAGCUUUUAAACAGCACGGAUGAGAAAGUAGCCAUGUUUCUGUUGUGUUUUGGAAAUACAGGAUAAAACACUCCCUACAUAAUACAUGUUUUGAUGACUUCAAGGCUUAAGGAAGACGGAUCUAAAAGGGAUCCCCUUGCUGCAUCAUAACAGAGGAAGCAACAGCUUGUCAGGAGAAUAACUUGAAUGAAAGGAAGUAACUAAUCCAAUGAUGGACUGAUGACACCUUCGAUGCAGUACAAGGCUGCAGGAAAGAUCGAUUGGCUCAGUGCAAGAUGAAGAAUAGUCCUACUGCCAGCAGUCGCUGCCUGCCUGAGACCCAAACUGGUUGCACACAGGUCUGCCUCCAAAAGAAAAAGGUGCUGUUUGCCAGACUUCAGAUAAAAUCUAGCUGGGAGGAAUUUCAGAUGGUUGAUCCAUGAAGCCAGUGGGCUUAGGACUUGAGGUUGCCAGUUGUUUCAUUUUAAAUACCAGAGACUUGAACACCAUGCAGGAAACAAUGACUUCAACCAUAGCUGGCCAAAAUCAAGUUCAAAAUGGCAACCUUGCAGGCAUUGCUCUUGUGUCACGACAGCUCUGCUUGCACGGGAGCACCAGCCCAGAGAGCCAGUCUGCUGAGAAUUACCCGACGCAGAGAUGAGCCCAACAGAGCCCUGGAGGGGCUUGGGAUUUAGCAGAAG
rnacentral:lncRNA from 14 species